rnacentral:tRNA from 1 species
GCAUAUUUUCAGCCAUGCGCAACCAUAAAAAUCCGGUUCAUACCCGGAGUGUCAUUGGUUCGAAUCCGAUCGCCGGUACCA